UACGUAGGGGGCAAGCGUUGUCCGGAAUCAUUGGGCGUAAAGCGCGUGUAGGCGGCCAGAAAAGUCCGCUGUGAAAUCUCGAGGCUCAACUUCGAGCUGUCGGUGGAAACUGUCUGGCUAGAGUCCGGAAGAGGAGAAUGGAAUUCCUGGUGUAGCGGUGAAAUGCGCAGAUAUCAGGAAGAACACCCGUGGCGAAGGCGGUUCUCUGGGACGGUACUGACGCUGAGGUGCGAAAGCGUGGGGAGCAAACAGG
rnacentral:rRNA from 1 species